GACGAACGCUGGCGGCGUGCUUAACACAUGCAAGUCGAACGAGAGCGUAGAGAAAGCUUGCUUUUUCUACAAGCUAGUGGCAAACGGGUGAGUAACGCGUAAACAACCUGCCCUACGGAUGGGGCUAACAGCAGGAAACGCCUGCUAAUACCGAAUACGUUCCCAAAGUCGCACGACUAUCGGAGGCAAGGAUGGCCUCUCUUAUUAAUCUAUCGCCGCUGGAGUGGCUUGCGUCUGAUUAGCUAGUUGGCGGGGUAACGGACUACCAACGCGACGAUCAGUAGCCGGUCUGAGAGGAUGGACGGCCAAAUUGGGAAUGGGACACGGUCCAGACUCCUACGGGAAGCAGCAAGGGGGAAUCUUCCGGAAUAGGCGAAAGCCUGACGGAGCAACGCCGCGGGAGUGAAGACGGCCUUCGGGUUGUAAAGCUCUGUUAUACGGGACGAAUAAUCUUGUGGUUAAUACCCAUGAGAAGUGACGGUACCGAAAGAGAAAGCCACGGCUAACUACGUG
rnacentral:rRNA from 1 species